AGUGAACGCUGGCGGUAGGCCUAACACAUGCAAGUCGAACGGCAGCACAGUAAGAGCUUGCUCUUACGGGUGGCGAGUGGCGGACGGGUGAGGAAUACAUCGGAAUCUACUUUUUCGUGGGGGAUAACGUAGGGAAACUUACGCUCAUACCGCAUACGACCUACGGGUGAAAGCAGGGGAUCUUCGGACCUUGCGCGAUUGAAUGAGCCGAUGUCGGAUUAGCUAGUUGGCGGGGUAAAGGCCCACCAAGGCGACGAUCCGUAGCUGGUCUGAGAGGAUGAUCAGCCACACUGGAACUGAGACACGGUCCAUACUCCUACGGGAGGCAGCAGUGGGGAAUAUUGGACAAUGGGCGCAAGCCUGAUCCAGCCAUACCGCGUGGGUGAAGAAGGCCUUCGGGUUGUAAAGCCCUUUUGUUGGGAAAGAAAAGCAGCAGGUUAAUACCCCGCUGUUCUGACGGUACCCAAAGAAUAAGCACCGGCUAACUUCGUG
rnacentral:rRNA from 1 species